rnacentral:rRNA from 1 species
GGUUGGGAUCUCAGUGGGCAACUGGACUGCGUGAAGCUGGAAUCGCUAGUAAUCGCGGAUCAGCAUGCCGCGCAUACUAUAUUACCGGCCGUUUGCCGCACCUAUCGUCACACCACGAGAGUUUGUAACACCCGAAGUCGGUGAUGUAACCUUUUAGGACCCAGCCCAAGAAGGUAUGACAGACUCGAGGGGAAGUCGUGCCCGGGUUGCCU